AAGACUAUAGACCUGCGGAGUACCUGCGGAAGGAUCAUUAACGUAUCUAUGAUGGGGUGCGGAGCGCCCUGCUCCGGUCGAACGGCCGUGCAGCGGGUGCGCCGCCCCCGUCCCACCUUACAAACCCACUGUGAACAUUCACCGGUGGAGGGGGCUCGGUCUGCGCCGUGUCCCCGAUGCCGAAUACCCAAACUCCAGUUGCAAAGAACGUCGUGCGGACUCGGUGCCGCCUAAAACAUG
rnacentral:misc_RNA from 1 species